CCUACGGGUGGCAGCAGUGAGGAAUAUUGGUCAAUGGGCGCGAGCCUGAACCAGCCAAGUAGCGUGAAGGAUGACUGCCCUACGGGUUGUACACUUCUUUUAUAAAGGAAUAAAGUGAGGCACGUGUGCCUUUUUGUAUUGACUUUAUGAAUACGGAUCGGAUAACUCCGUGCCAGCAGCCGCCGUAAUACGGAGGAUCCGAGCGUUAUCCGGAUUUAUUGGGUUUAAAGGGAGCGUAGAUGGGUUGUUAAGUCAGUUGUGAAAGUUUGCGGCUCAACCGUAAAAGUGCAAUUGAUACUGGCAGCCUUGAGUACAGUUGAGGUAGGCGGAAUUCGUGGUGUAGCGGGGAAAUGCUUAGAUAUCACGAAGAACUCCGAUUGCGAAGGCAGCUUACUAAACUGCCACUGACAUUGAUGCUCGAAAGUGUGGGUAUCAAACAGGAUUAGAUACCCCAGUAGUC
rnacentral:rRNA from 1 species